UGAAGAAGGCCGUUAUGGUGUAAAGCACUUUAAGCGAGGAGGAGGCUACUUUAGAUAAUACCUAGAGAUAGUGGACGUUACUCGCAGAAUAAGCACCGGCUAACUCUGUGCCAGCAGCCGCGGUAAUACAGAGGGUGCAAGCGUUAAUCGGAUUUACUGGGCGUAAAGCGCGCGUAGGCGGCUAAUUAAGUCAAAUGUGAAAUCCCCGAGCUUAACUUGGGAAUUGCAUUCGAUACUGGUUAGCUAGAGUGUGGGAGAGGAUGGUAGAAUUCCAGGUGUAGCGGUGAAAUGCGUAGAGAUCUGGAGGAAUACCGAUGGCGAAGGCAGCCAUCUGGCCUAACACUGACGCUGAGGUGCGAAAGCAUGGGGAGCAAACAGGAUUAGAUACCCUGGUAGUCCAUGCCGUAAACGAUGUCUACUAGCCGUUGGGGCCUUUGAGGCUUUAGUGGCGCAGCUAACGCGAUAAGUAGACCGCCUGGGGAGUACGGUCGCAAGACUAAAACUCAAAUGAAUUGACGGGGGCCCGCACAAGCGGUGGAGCAUGUGGUUUAAUUCGAUGCAACGCGAAGAACCUUACCUGGCCUUGACAUAGUAAGAACUUUCCAGAGAUGGAUUGGUGCCUUCGGGAACUUACAUACAGGUGCUGCAUGGCUGUCGUCAGCUCGUGUCGUGAGAUGUUGGGUUAAGUCCCGCAACGAGCGCAACCCUUUUCCUUAUUUGCCAGCGAGUAAUGUCGGGAACUUUAAGGAUACUGCCAGUGACAAACUGGAGGAAGGCGGGGACGACGUCAAGUCAUCAUGGCCCUUACGGCCAGGGCUACACACGUGCUACAAUGGUCGGUACAAAGGGUUGCUACACAGCGAUGUGAUGCUAAUCUCAAAAAGCCGAUCGUAGUCCGGAUUGGAGUCUGCAACUCGACUCCAUGAAGUCGGAAUCGCUAGUAAUCGCGGAUCAGAAUGCCGCGGUGAAUACGUUCCCGGGCCUUGUACACACCGCCCGUCACACCAUGGGAGUUUGUUGCACCAGAAGUAGCUAGCCUAACUGCAAAGAGGGCGG
rnacentral:rRNA from 1 species